GAUGAAGAACGUAGCGAAAUGCGAUACGUAAUGUGAAUUGCAGAAUUCAGUGAAUCAUCGAAUCUUUGAACGCACAUUGCACUCUCUGGUAUUCCGGAGAGUAUGCUUGUUUGAGUAUCUGUAAACAUCUCAAAUCUCUCUUCGCUUGCGUCGAGAGAAUUGGAUUUGAGCGAUCCCGACUCCUUCGUCAGAAAGAGGAGGGUCGCUUGAAAUGCAGGUGCAGCUGGACAUUCUUCUGAGCUAAAAGCAUAUCUAUUUAGUCCCGUCAAACGGAUUAUUACUUUUGCUUCAGCUAAUAUAAAGGUCGAAUGAACUACCAACGCUGAUUGCAGGAAAACUCGUUUGUAACAGAACUUGUAAACUCGAUCUCAAAUCAAGUAAGACUACCCGCUGAACUUAAGCAUAUCAAUAAGCGGAGGA
rnacentral:misc_RNA from 1 species